rnacentral:misc_RNA from 1 species
UGCUCCACUUUCCAAAUUAAAGUCAUUGACCUUAGAAUCCAUGGAGAAUCUAGCAUCUCUACCUAGAGAUUGGAUGCGGAACCUCACCUCCCUUCAGAAACUAAGUAUCGACUUUCUUGCCAAUUAGCAAAGUCACCAGAUCUACAACCGCCCCAAUUUGGCAUCUCUGCCAAAAGGAAUAUGUCAAAUCACCACUUUACAAGAG